GGCUAAUGAGAGGUUGGAUCCACAUCUUUGAGAGACAAAAAGAAAAAGGAGGGAAGGCAGCAGUCAUCUUUACCAGAAUAAAAGAAAACCCUUUGCAAAACUAAGACUAAAGCUGUGACAUGGCUUCAUUACAUCACUGAAUUCAUUUAGCAACAUUGAGAUUAGAUGCUGCCCAUUUGAAUCUUGGCCCCCAAAGAAGUUUUGAAAUUCUAGCCUGCAGACCAGUGGUCCAUGAGCUUCAAUCAGGUGGUGUGGGUUGUCUGAAGAACACCUGGCAUAGCUAAUGUGAAAGGCAGACAUGGUGAAUUAAUUAAAAAAAAUUGUAUAUUUGUAGCUGCUUUUAUUUCUUAUGUUGUGUUUUAUUAUCUGUUGUAUUUUAUAUUAUGUGUAGUUCAAGUUGUAAUACAAUAAAAUAUAUAAGAAAUAAGAUCAGCAAGAAAAAUACAAUUAAAAAACAUACAACAUAUAGGAGAAUACAUUAUAAGUCAUACAAAAGGCAGAAAAAUCUUCCAAGUGGUCCACCAAGACUCUCAGCAAUUUUCCAGUGUUCUUGGGGGUUGGGAACCACUGUUAUAUAUAACAUUCAACACCAGUUGCAUUAGGUGCACUUCAGAAUAAAGACAUAAUCCAAUCUUGAAUGAAUGAAUCUUUAUUUGUGUCAGCCAUCGGCCAUAGCAACAAAACAACAACACGAUAUACAAAGAACAGAAAUAAAAAGUCAAUUAUAUAAAACACACUUUAGGGUCCUGAAUCAACAUUCAAAUAGUGAAUCUUAUUCUGAUUGCCCCACCUAAAAACCUUGCAACCUUUUGUGUCACCUGCUCAUCUUGAUCUGCCAAGAGAAAGGACAAGGUGGCAGUGGUUGGGCGACCCGGAAUGGACAAUAAAAGAGGGGUGAUAAUCUCAUUUCUCAAGUCUUUAUAAAGAAUGCAAGCCAGAAGGGCAUGCGCCACCAAUUUGGUACUGCCCUCUCCACAGGGGCAAAUAUGUUUUUUGUGUGGAAUCUGUUGGAAUCGUCCCUCAAGUGCAACCAAGGGCAAUACAUUCAAUAUUGCGAGGGUAAAAUAUGUCUAUAUUUUAGAAUUGCUAGAUUAUGCAGAUAGGGUGCCAGAGAGUCAAAAUGGGAAGGUGGAAAAUAGGCAUACCAUGGGCAAAAUGUCCUUAUUGUGGCCAAGUUGUUCUGAUGCUUGAUUUCAUUUAGGCCAGGGGGUUUAGCUUGGAACACUUCCAGGACAGAUGGUAUAUGUUUACCAUCUUUAGUGUGGGGAAAGAGUGUCAGAAUUUUGGUGCUUUGGGAAGCUUUUUCUUUUGCACAUAAUACAAUCUUUGUUUAAGGGACAGAAUCCAAUUUUGAGAAAUAAAGUAGUCCAGGAGAACACAAUAAAGGUAACAUCAUCAUGGCCCAGCUUUCAGUGAAAAAAGAGGCUAUGAGGACAAGCAGAUGAUAUGAUAGAGGGUGUAGACUUAUUCGAAAUAAAGGCAAACACUUGGGUAUUGCCAUCCCUCCUCAAAAUCAUCAUUUCAUUCAACACACACACACACACACACACCAGGAAUGCAAACAUUUGGAAAGAAAAUUCUAACCUAAAAAUGGAAUUUCCCUUUCACUGGGGUCAUUUUGAAUAAAGGGUUUAUAAAAACAAGGCCCAAUGACAAAUGCCACAACAAAACAAUGGCUAACUAUUUCUUGGAGUCAGCAUCCAUAAAACAAUAAUUUUGAACACUUCUAUAUAAUUAAAACAUUCAAAGUGCUUCCCAUAACAGUAACAUAGCUGUCAAGUUUUCCCUUUUCUUGCGAGGAAGCCUAUUCCGCAUAAGGGAAUUUCUCUUUAAAAAAGGGAGAACUUGACAGCUAUGAACAGUAAACUAGUUUGAGUGCCAUAUUGCAAAUGGUUGAAGCUAACUGGAGGCUAGUCCUCAAAUACAUUUGUUAGUAUUUAAGACACCCCAAAACUCUUCAAUCUUUUGGCUUGCCAGGUGGCUCUGUGGGUUAAACCACUGAGCCUAGGGCUUGCUGAUCAGAAGGUCGGCGGUUCGAAUCCCUGUGACGGGGUGAGCUCCCGUUGCUCGGUCCCAGCUCCUGCCAACCUAGCAGUUCGAAAGCACAUCAAAGUGCAAGUAGAUAAAUAGGAACCGCUACAGCGGGAAGGUAAACGGCGUUUCCAUGUGCUGCUCUGGUUCACCAGAAGCGGCUUUGUCAUGCUGGCCACAUGACCUGGAAGCUAUACGCCGGCUCCCUUGGCCAAUAAUGCGAGAUGAGCACGCAACCCCAGAGUCGGUCACGACUGGACCUAAUGGUCAGGGGUCCCUUUACCUUUAAGGCCACCAAGUGAGUGGUAAGACUGCAAGUAGGGAGUUUCCAGCCCACACUGAGCUACUGCAGGACACCAGCUCUUUGAACUUUUAUU